GCCAAUAUUUUGUCUUUCUUGUGUGAUAACAUGCAUGUUUAGCUUUCAUUCUGAUUUUGCAUUGAUUCUUUGUUGAUGUGCUUACUCAUGGUAUACUUUGAAUAUGAUCUAGGCCUCCUUGAUUUUCCCAUUUUAGUUUACCCAUUUCGUUUCUUACCAUUGUACCCUGUUUUGAGCUUUAGUCUGUUUUCUUUGCUUUCCAUCCAUUUCAAGCCACUUCCCC
rnacentral:lncRNA from 1 species